GGAUCUGUAGCUCAGUUGGGAGAGCGAUUAAAUGGAACUUAAUAUGGCGUUAGUUCGAUUGUGGGCCAAGACAAACCGGGGCGGGACUAAUCAAAGUCG
rnacentral:tRNA from 1 species